rnacentral:ncRNA from 1 species
AAGGCCUGAUGUGUGUGAGAUUACCCGCUGAAUUUAAGCAUAUAAGUAAGCGGAGGAAAAGAAACUAACUAGGAUUCCCUUAGUAAUGGCGAAUGAACAGGGAUCAGCUCAGUGCCAAAUCGGAAUCACUUGUGGUUCUGAAAUGUGGCUUGAAGGCAGUACCAGUGGCAUCGCGGACGAAAGUCUCUUGGAAAAGAGCGUCAUAGAGGGUGAGAAUCCCGUGAGUCGUUCGCCGUUUGUCACGUACGGUCUGCGUUCUAACGAGUCGCGUUCCUUGGGAUUGGAGCGUAAACGGGUGGUAAAUUUCAUCCAAAGCAAAAUAUAUACUCGAGACCGAUAGCACAAAAGUACCGUGAGGGAAAGGUGAAAAGAACUUUGAGAAGAGGGUUAAAUAGUGCCUGAAAUCGUUGAGAAGGAAGCGGAUGCCGCCGUUGCAUAUGCUGAUUGUAGGAUUGCUGCUCGCUCCUGUCUUCUGCUACUCAUUCACAGACCUGGUCGUGUUGAGCAGUUGUUUGGCAGAUGUUAGUGGUGUUUCCUACUUUCAGUCGUCAGCAUCACUGGCUGAGUGGAAAUAAUCCUUGGAUGCUAAUUGGUUCGCUAUCUGUGAAUUGGUUGCUUCCUUGCGAUACUCACUACUCGGUCAGUGAGGAAGUGCGUUUGCUGGUCAACGAGCUUUCUAACUGUCAUUACCCUGCGCUUUUCGAUUCGUCGAGUGGCCAGGAUGUGGCUUUGAGAUUGUUCGCACUUAGUAAUCGCGAUGCUGGCUUCCAACGGGUUGCCUCCGGCCC